rnacentral:rRNA from 1 species
UUGCUCCUCUGACGUUAGCGGCGGACGGGUGAGUAACACGUGGAUAACCUACCUAUAAGACUGGGAUAACUUCGGGAAACCGGAGCUAAUACCGGAUAAUAUAUUGAACCGCAUGGUUCAAUAGUGAAAGACGGUUUUGCUGUCACUUAUAGAUGGAUCCGCGCCGCAUUAGCUAGUUGGUAAGGUAACGGCUUACCAAGGCAACGAUGCGUAGCCGACCUGAGAGGGUGAUCGGCCACACUGGAACUGAGACACGGUCCAGACUCCUACGGGAGGCAGCAGUAGGGAAUCUUCCGCAAUGGGCGAAAGCCUGACGGAGCAACGCCGCGUGAGUGAUGAAGGUCUUCGGAUCGUAAAACUCUGUUAUUAGGGAAGAACAAAUGUGUAAGUAACUAUGCACGUCUUGACGGUACCUAAUCAGAAAGCCACGGCUAACUACGUGCCAGCAGCCGCGGUAAUACGUAGGUGGCAAGCGUUAUCCGGAAUUAUUGGGCGUAAAGCGCGCGUAGGCGGUUUUUUAAGUCUGAUGUGAAAGCCCACGGCUCAACCGUGGAGGGUCAUUGGAAACUGGAAAACUUGAGUGCAGAAGAGGAAAGUGGAAUUCCAUGUGUAGCGGUGAAAUGCGCAGAGAUAUGGAGGAACACCAGUGGCGAAGGCGACUUUCUGGUCUGUAACUGACGCUGAUGUGCGAAAGCGUGGGGAUCAAACAGGAUUAGAUACCCUGGUAGUCCACGCCGUAAACGAUGAGUGCUAAGUGUUAGGGGGUUUCCGCCCCUUAGUGCUGCAGCUAACGCAUUAAGCACUCCGCCUGGGGAGUACGACCGCAAGGUUGA